rnacentral:lncRNA from 1 species
AUAUAUAUAUAUAUAAAAUAUGAUCAUAAAUUAUUUAGUAACAUUACCAAAAAAACUAUACUAACAUUAUAAUAUAAUCCUAAGGAUUCACGCAUAUUUUUCUUGUGGAUUUUAUAUAUAAGUCUUGUUAGACUAUAUAUUGAGUCUAAUACAACAGAGCUAGGAUUUCAAGUUUGAGGGGAUAAAAAUAAAAAAUUCAAUUUUUGAGAGAGUAAAAUUAUAAAAUUUUUAAAAAGUCAAGGGUAAAAUUAUAAAUAUUUAAAAUAAAACAAGGAAAAAUUGAUAAAAUUUUGAAAUUUCGGGGCCCUCCCUCCGCCUCUGGAGUCUAAUAGAUCUAUACAGGAGAGGAUUGUUGAUUUGUUGCUCAUUAAAAUUAAUGAGUAAAAGUUUUUCAAAAACAAAAUGCCUUGAAAAACAAACAAGCAUAAAUCCCUCUAGAGACGAAACACUUGAAUCUCUUUUGAAGUACUCGCAUCUUGAUCUAAAAUUUAAUUUCUUUUGGAGUUGAGGGAUUUGAAUUGUUUUUAAGGUAUGUGUAUAUUGAUCUAUAAUUUUCUUGUGGAAGAUUUUUUAUUUUUAUAUUAUAUAACAAUUGUUGUUAUUGAAUCAAAAAAUAAAAUUCCACAUUCACGAUAGAGAGAAUCUAACUUAUAUAUUGUAAUCCCAAUUUCUAAUUAUAUUGCAUUGUAAAUUACCAAACGUCACCUAAGCGUCCACACCUCUACCUUUUAUUUCCCUUCUUGUUACGAUAGCAUCCACCUACAUGAUUAAUGAUUAAUGCUUAGUAAUUAGUGAUGUUUGGGCAUUAAGUUGAUUUAUCUCCUUUUUCCUCUACUUUUAAAUAAUGGUAAUUUCAAAACGAAUUUUGAAUAAUCCAAUUGCAUCUACCCAUAAAAGGAAAUAUAAUGGUGUAUAGUAUUUUCUUUCUUUUUCUUUUUUUUUUUUUGGUUUUUUGAAAGAGCACUUACCUAACUUGUUGGUAGUAAUGUGAUUGCAGAGAAGAUAACAUUACAGUGUUUAGUAAAUAAGUAAAGUAAUAAUUAAAAUGCAUAGAAGAUAAUAUUGCAGUAUUUGGUUUAUAGGUACUUUGUUGGAAAUAUGAUGUUAAUUUUUAGAAUUAUCCCUAUUUAUUAAAGUACAAGUUUAAUAUACUUGUAUUUUUUAUUAUUAAUUUUUAUAUAAUAUCAUCUCUUAAAUAUAUUUUUAAUGUCAUAUAUUUUAUUUUUAUUUCUUAUUAUUCUCUUAUAUAUUUUAUUUUUGUUUCUUAAUAUAAUUUUUUUAUAUUAUAUAUUUUAUUUUAAUUUCUUUUCUCUUUAAAAGAUAAUAUAAAUUUUAUUAAUAAUUACCAUGACUAUUGAGAAUAAUAAAAAGAUAUCCCUUGAAAUUUAUAUAUAAAAAACAAAUUAUAACAUUAUAAAAUAUUUUUAACAAAUUAAUAAAGUUGAAAGAUAAAAAUGUUUUAAAACAAUUGCAGAGUGUAAUGCAAUCUGAUUGCAUUGGUUUUGGAUUGCAAUUACAUUACAUUUAUUGACUGUAAUGUGAUUGCAUUACAAUCUUACAUUAUAGGGAUUUAUUGCAAAACAAACACUGUAAUAUAAUUUAAUUGAAUACAUUACCGAAAAUGUACUCUCACUUCCCUUAUACUAAAUAAUAUCCUAAAGUCAAACUAUUCUUAUACCAAACAUUAUCCUAAAACUAAAUAAUCCUUAUCUCGUAAAUUUCAUUAAUAUGUGAUGGGAAAAAGAUUAAAUGAAAGAAAAAUGAAAAAUUAAUUACAUUCAAAGUGUCCACACCUCUACCUUUUAUUUCCCUUCUUGUUACGAUAGCAUCCACCUACGUGAUUAAUGAUUAAUGCUUAGUAAUUAGUGAUGUUUGGGCAUUAAGUUGAUUUAUCUCCUUUUUCCUCUACUUUUAAAUAAUGGUAAUUUUCAAAAUGAAUUUUGAAUAAUCCAAUUGCAUCUACCCAUAAAAGGAAAUAUAGUGGUAUAUAGUAUUUUCUUUUUUUUUUUUUGGUUUUUUUGAAAAAGCACUUACCUAGCUUAUUGGUAGUAAUGUGAUUGCAGAGAAGAUAACAUUACAGUAUUUAGUAAAUAAGUAAAGUAAUGAUUAAAAUGCAUAGAAGAUAAUAUUGCAGCAUUUGGUUUAUAGGUACUUUGCUGGGAAUAUGAUGUUAAUUUUUAGAAUUAUCCCUAUUUAUUAUAAUACAAGUUUAAUAUACUUGUAUUUUUUUAUUAUUAAUUUUUAUAUAAUAUCAUCUCUUAAAUAUAUUUUUAAUGUCAUAUAUUUUAUUUUUAUUUCUUAUUAU